rnacentral:rRNA from 1 species
UAGGGAAUCUUCGGCAAUGGACGAAAGUCUGACCGAGCAACGCCGCGUGAGUGAAGAAGGUUUUCGGAUCGUAAAACUCUGUUGUUAGAGAAGAACAAGGACGUUAGUAACUGAACGUCCCCUGACGGUAUCUAACCAGAAAGCCACGGCUAACUACGUGCCAGCAGCCGCGGUAAUACGUAGGUGGCAAGCGUUGUCCGGAUUUAUUGGGCGUAAAGCGAGCGCAGGCGGUUUCUUAAGUCUGAUGUGAAAGCCCCCGGCUCAACCGGGGAGGGUCAUUGGAAACUGGAAGAAUUGAGUGCAGAAUAGGAGAGUGGAAUUACAUGUGUAGCGGUGAAAUGCGUAGAUAUAUGGGGGAAAACCAGUAGCGAAGGCGGCUCUCUGGUCUGUAACUGACGCUGAGGCUCGAAAGCGUGGGGAGCAAACAGG